rnacentral:rRNA from 1 species
GCUUAACACAUGCAAGUCGACCGAGAAAAAGGKAGCAAUUAUCUUGAUGUAAAAUGGCGCACGGGUGAGUAACACCGUAAGUAACAUACCCAUGGAUUUGGAAUAAUUUUGCGAAAGCGGGACUAAUUCCAAAUAAUGCAGCGGCAUCAAAAGAUGAUGUUGUUAAAGUAGCUUCAGUUUACUGAGGUUAUGUCUAUGGAUUGGCUUGCGUCUGAUUAGCUAGUUGGUAAGGUAAUUGCUUACCAAGGCUACGAUCAGUAGCUGGUCUGAGAGGAUGAUCAGCCACACUGGAACUGAGACACGGUCCAUACACCUACGGGUGGCAGCAGUAGGGAAUAUUGGUAAUGUGCGAAAGCGCGAACCAGCAACGCCGCGUGUGCGAUGAAGGCCUUCGGGUUGUAAAGCACUUUUUGAGAGGAUGAGGAAGGACAGUMYUCUUAGAAUAAGCCUCGGCUAACUACGUGCCAGCAGCCGCGGUAAYAMGGCNAUUU